rnacentral:lncRNA from 1 species
GUGAACCAACAUGAGCAAGUCAUAUUAGAUUAAUUGAUCUAAUUGGUGUCUAGGAAAGCAUGAAAGGUGGUUACUUAAUUAGGACCUUACUCUCUAAGUAAGGGGAGCCUCCCACCUGCUUACCUGGCCAAUUGUUCGAUUACCUCUUAUGAAGAGCUCAAGGUUGCAAACACUAAGACAUGAUUAACCAAUAUUAAGUCAAUAGGUCUUCCACUAUAGUAGAGCUG